rnacentral:rRNA from 1 species
AGUAGUCACGUAGUUUGAUCAUGGCUACAGAACGAACGCUGGCGGCAUGCCUAACACAUGCAAGUCGAACGAGACCUUCGGGUCUAGUGGCGCACGGGUGCGUAACACGUGGGAAUUUGCCUCGGGGUAUGGAAUAACUCAGGGAAACUUGAGCUAAUACCAUAUAAUGUCUUCGGACCAAAGAUUUAUCGCCCUGAGAUAAGCCCGCGUAGGAUUAGCUAGUUGGUGGGGUAAAGGCCUACCAAGGCGACGAUCCGUAUCUGGUUUGAGAGGACGAUCAGACACACUGGAACUGAGACACGGUCCAGACUCCUACGGGAGGCAGCAGUGGGGGAAUUUUCCGCAAUGGGCGAAAGCCUGACGGAGCAAUACCGCGUGAGGGAAGAAUGCCUAUGGGUUGUAAACCUCUUUUUUCAGGGAGGAAUCAAAUGACGUGUACCUGAAGAAUAAGCAUCGGCUAACUCCGUG